rnacentral:tRNA from 2 species
GGAGAGGUAUCGAAGUGGUCAUAACGAGGCGGUCUUGAAAACCGUUUGCCUUCACGGGCACGUGGGUUCGAAUCCCACCCUCUCCGCCA